rnacentral:rRNA from 1 species
CAAUAGCGUAUAUUAAAGUUGUUGCAGUUAAAAAGCUCGUAGUUGGAUUUCUGGCAGGAGCGACCGGUCACACACUCUGUGUGUGAACUUGUGUUGUCUCUGGCCAUCCUUGGGGAGAUCCUGUUUGGCAUUAAGUUGUCGGGCAGGGGACAUCCAUCGUUUACUGUGAAAAAAUUAGAGUGUUUAAAGCAGGCUUAUGCCGUCGAAUAUAUUAGCAUGGAAUAAUAAGAUAGGACUUCGGAACUAUUUUGUUGGUUUGCGUUACGAAGUAAUGAUUAAUAGGGACAGUUGGGGGUAUUCGUAUUUCGUUGUCAGAGGUGAAAUUCUUGGAUUUCCGAAAGACGAACUACUGCGAAAGCAUUUACCAAGGAUGUUUNCAUUAA